rnacentral:rRNA from 1 species
UACAGGGGGGGCAAGCGUUGUUCGGAAUUACUGGGCGUAAAGGGCUCGUAGGUGGCCAACUAAGUCGGACGUGAAAUCCCUCAGCUUAACUGGGGAACUGCGUCCGAUACUGGAUGGCUUGAGUUUGGGAGAGGGAUGCGGAAUUCCAGGUGUAGCGGUGAAAUGCGUAGAUAUCAGGAGGAACACCGGUGGCGAAGGCGGGUCUCUGGGCCGAAACUGACGCUGAGGAGCGAAAGCGUGGGGAGCAAACAGG